rnacentral:lncRNA from 1 species
UGGAAUUAUUAUGAUAAAGAAUUAUUACGAAUUCGUUAUGAAGAAUAUACCACGUUGUACGAUGCGUCGUGCAGGUUCAGUAACUCUUUCCUCCUCCGAUGCAGCUGAUAACUCGGCAUACGUAGUAUACCAGACUAUCGCAAGCAUCACUCGACUCAUAAUAUACACGGUGUUGUGAAAAACACCACGCGGCAAGCAAGUAUAAUCCGCGUAUUAUUUCUCCUCGCGAUGCCGUUUCCUAAAUAUAAUACACAAUUUCUUUAAAAUAGGAGAGACAAAAAUUUAGCUAGGAAUCUACUUAUAUCCGAAGACGAUAUUUAACAAUCAAAUUUAGCUAGAAAUUAUGAAAAAUUUUUCGUUUUUUAUUAAUUUCGCGCGAAGGUAUCCACAAAGUCGGAUAAGAAGACAACUUCGUAGCACACUUUAUAUUGCAAUGUGUAUUGUACAUACGUACGCAUAGAAUACGUACAUAGAAUCAUAUAAACCCCUUAGUCGCACGAGGUCUCUUGUUUCUCGACCCAAAAUAGCGUGACAAAGAAAAAGAGUUUAAUGGAGAGGGAAAGACAAGAGAGAGAGAGAGAGAGCAGGAGAAAGGAGUAAGAAAGAGAGAGAAAAGGCUUGAAAAGAAAGUAAAGGAGAAGAGAGAGGGGGUAAUACUAUUCCGUGCGUAUAGUAAAUAGACUGUAGUACUACGAGUCACACCCACAAGCCGAUUGUGAGUUCAAGAUCCUCGAUGUAUGUUUCCCUCUCCCCUCUCGUUCUCUUUUGCUGUUGCGUGUGACAAUGUGUACGUCGUCACGAGGUCACGCGCUAUAUCGAAAACUAUCGGCCUUGCUUGAUGAGUGAGACACGCCGUUAAUCGCUGUAUUUAUUCAGUAUUGUAUUCGUAAUACUAUGUCGAUAAGGUUACGAGAUAACGUGGGAAUUUUCGGAAACCUCGCUCGUACUUGAAUCGCCGUAGAGGUUUGUACGAUCAAGGGCGUAGCAAAGGGAACAGCGAAGAAGAAGCGACACGAUUCCGUGCACAUAUGAAGGCUUUGACAAUUAAAUUGCAUCAAUCAUGUCGAGUGGAGUUAGAUCGCAAUAUUUUAGGUUGCGUAACAAAUAAUUUCGGAUUUUCUCGUAGAUGAUAUUACUUUUUUACACGGCACGUUUAAAAAGUCGUAAUACAAGCAAAAUUCGAUUACAAUUUCAAUAUGAAUAUUUAAUUUACAUCGUAAUUAAAUUAUAUCUCGUCUGACGAAGAGAGUAGAACUUUUAAAAAAAUUUCAGUAAUAUUUCAAAAACAUACUUUUGUCUUUUAAUGUAAUUAAUUACAUGGCUCGAUAUUAUUUCACGAAGGAAACAAAAGGAAUCGAUGGAUCGCGUGUCAGACGCAGGAAAUAUUAAUACCUUGAUUAUACAUUGUAACCUGACUGUGUGAUUUUUUACUUUCAUUGACACGCUGAAAAAGAAAAUUAAAUAAGUGAAGAAAACUUUGUUCUUUUUUUUUUAGAAAUCCGUUCUUUGUUGUCUGAUCUUCGCUGAUCAGCCCUCGGGCUCUUCGCAAUCGCGAACCGAUUCCGAGCGUUACGCCGGUACCUGAAACACCUGACGAAACGUCUGCGACGAUGCACGAUGCAACUGAUAAAUAGCGUGAAGGAGGGGAAUCAUAAAAGAGGAGGAGGAUGGAAGAUCUCGGAGACCGGCAACGAUCCUGUCCGGCUGUUCUUCAACGCCAUGGCGAUGAGACACGAGUACGAGUACGCGGGCUUCGGAUCUGCUUGCGUAUGUGCUGCGACGGUUGGUUGCCCGGGCUGGCGGCCAGCACCUUGAUGUCGUGCACCUUCACCGUGCUCGACACGGUG